CUCGUCCCGGCUCCCAGAGUCGGUGGCUGCCAACCACACCCCGCCCCUUUCCAGUCUUCUCCUUCUCCCAGCCAGCAGAACCGGGGCAGACUGGCCGUCAGCUGCCGGAGUUCGGAACGCUUGCUUGACGGAGGAGGUGACUAGGAUUCGGCCCCAGGGUUCGGCCCGUCCCUUUUGGCCCAGAAACAGAGAGAGGACUCUUCAUUACACACUAGGAGAAGAUGUAAGGAAGAAAGGAGGAGAGAGAAAGAGAAAGAAAGAAGAGAGAGGUGAGAGAAAGAGAAAAAGAGAAGUAGAUGAGAAGAGGGAGGGAAGAAGAGGGAGAGAGAGACAGAGGGGGGGAAGAGAGGGGGGAAGAGGAGAGAGAGAGAGAGAGAGAGAGAGAGAGAGAGAGAGAGAGAGAGAGNNNNNNNNNNGAGAGAGAGAGAGAGAGAGAGAGAGAGAGAGAGA
rnacentral:lncRNA from 1 species